rfam:Ictidomys tridecemlineatus contig039549, whole genome shotgun sequence.
GGGGUUGUGGCUCAGUGGUAGAGCGCUUACCUAGCAUGUGGGAGGCCCUCGGUUCGAUCCUCAGCACCA